rnacentral:rRNA from 1 species
UUGCAGGCUGAAAUUCGCCUGCAUGAAGCCGGAAUUGCUAGUAAUGGCAGGUCAGCAUACUGCCGUGAAUACGUUCCCGGGCCUUGUACACACCGCCCGUCACACCAUGAGAGCCGGGAACACCCGAAGUCCGUAGUCUAACCUAUAUGGAGGACGCGGCCGAAGGUGGGUUUGGUAAUUGGGGUGAAGUCGUAACAAGGUAGC